rnacentral:rRNA from 1 species
UCAGGCCUAACACAUGCAAGUCGAAGGUGAAGCAGGACUUCGGUCCUGCGGAAACUGGCGGACGGGUGAGUAACGCGUAGGGAUGUGCCUAUGAGUACGGAAUAACUAUUGGAAACGAUAGCUAAUACCGUAUACGCCCCAAGGGGGAAAGCUCCGGCGCUCAUAGAGCAACCUGCGUCCGAUUAGCUUGUUGGUGAGGUAACGGCUCACCAAGGCGACGAUCGGUAGCUGGUCUGAGAGGAUGGUCAGCCACACUGGGACUGAGACACGGCCCAGACUCCUACGGGAGGCAGCAGUGGGGAAUAUUGGACAAUGGGGGCAACCCUGAUCCAGCCAUGCCGCGUGAGUGAAGAAGGCCCUAGGGUUGUAAAGCUCCUUCAGCAGGGAAGAUGAUGACGGUACCUGCAGAAGAAGCCCCGGCUAACUCCGUGCCAGCAGCCGCGGUAAUACGGAGGGGGCUAGCGUUGCUCGGAAUUACUGGGCGUAAAGAGCACGUAGGCGGAUAGUCAAGUCAGGCGUGAAAGCCCCGGGCUCAACCCGGGAACUGCGCUUGAUACUGAUUGUCUUGAGUCCGAGAGAGGGUGGUGGAAUUCCCAGUGUAGAGGUGAAAUUCGUAGAUAUUGGGAAGAACACCAGUGGCGAAGGCGGCCACCUGGCUCGGUACUGACGCUGAGGUGCGAAAGCGUGGGGAGCAAACAGG